rnacentral:sRNA from 1 species
CUAGCAGGUGGAUGAUUUCGUAGUUCAGUUCUCUAAACAUGCAGGAUCUAAGACAUUCUUAUGGAUUUGUUGUUAG